ensembl:lncRNA
CAACCAUCACCACCAUCACCAUCACAACCAACCACACCAUCACAACCAACAACACCAUCACCAUCACAACCAACAACACCAUCACCAUCACAACCAACAACACCAUCACCAUCACAACCAACAACACCAUCACCAUCACAACCAACAACACCAUCACCACCAACAACACCAUCACCAUCACAACCAACAACACCAUCACCAUCACAACCGACAACACCAUCACCAUCACAACCAACAACACCAUCACCAUCACAACCAACAACACCAUCACCAUCACAACCAACAACACCAUCACCAUCACAACCAACAACACCAUCACCAUCACAACCAACAACACCAUCACAACCAACAACACCAUCACCAACACCAACACCAUCACAACCAACAACACCAUCACCAUCACAACCAGAACCAAGAACAGCAUCAUCAACCAAAACCAACAACACCAUCACAACCAACAACACCAUCACCAUCACAACCAACAACACCAUCACAACCAACAACACCAUCACCAUCACAACCAACAACACCAUCACCAUCACAACCAACAACACCAUCGCAACAAACAAUCACAACCAACAACACCAUCACCAUCACAACCAACAACACCAUCACCAUCACAACCAACAACACCAUCACAACCAACAACACCAUCACCAUCACAACCACAACCAAGAACACCAUCACCAAAACCAACAACACCAUCACAACCAACAACACCAUCACCACCACAACCAACAACACCAUCACAACAAACAACACCAUCACAACCAACAACACCUACCCCAUCAAAACCAAAAACACUACCACCAACACAACCAGAACCAACAAAACCAUCACAACCAACAACACCAUCACUAUCACAACCAACAACACCAUCACUAUCACAACCAACAACACUACCACCAUCACAACCAACAGCAUCACCACCACCACCACAAUCAUCAUUACCACCACCAUCCUCACCACCACCACCACAACUAACAACCCUAUCACCAGCACCGACAACACCACCACCCCCACCAACAACGACACCAACGCAACCAACAACGCCAACACCCCCACCACCAUCAUCAUCCGCGUCCCCGUCCCCAUCUCCAUCAGUGCUCCACGUCGACCAAUGGGACGUGUGCUCCACCCACUUCUCCACAAAGCCCCGGGUGUCGGCCCGCUGGCUCAAGGCCCAGAGGGAGGAGCUGACCCACAUGAGGGCCGUCCAACACGGCAACCAGGCCGUGGUGGAGAACCUGGUGCAGUACUUGAGUGAGGAGGUGGGGGAGCAGAGGUACGAGGACAUCAUCCAGGAGAACAUCGCCGGGAUCAAAGAGGGGCACGCCAGCUGCCAAGAGGCCACUCAGAAGGCCCUCGAGGACCUGGAGAGGCAACUGGAGGGGGACGUCAUGGAAACGCUCUCGGGGAUGCAGAGGAUUGUCUCUCACUGACACUCAUUCCAUGCCAUCUGCCCUGACAACCCUCUGACACACAUACCGAACAUGUUGUGUGCCCUAGUGUCAUUUUCCAGUCUACUCAGUAACCUCCCUCUUUCUCCCAGCCUGAAAGCCAACCUUGUUUUUCAUGUUCCACUGCAAGGAUUUCCUUAUUCAGUGAACCCUAAACCCAAACAUUCAAUACAAACAUCUGGGGCUCUCUCUCUCUCUCUCUCUCCCUCUCUCUCCCUCUCUCUCUCUCUCUCUCCCUCUCUCUCUCUCUCUCUCUCUCUCUCUCUCUCCCUCUCUCUCUCUCUCUCUCUCUCUCUCUCUCUC